rnacentral:lncRNA from 7 species
AAUAUUGAUAGGCCCACACUGAGUUCUCAUCAGUUAUUUUUGCCAUUGUGAGGUUGCCAACACCAUACUCAGUGGUGCUUUCAUUACCACUGCUGAGUAUCUGGAAAAUUAUUUGGUCUUCUAUUCCACAAUACAUCUGGCAUACUUUGCCAUUAGUUGAAAAACUAUAUCUGGCUUUGUGCCUAAUCUCUCGCGUGACAAAAGCUGAAAAUCAAACCCUAGGUUUCUUCCAAGUAUUUAUAACUGCCUCUGUGUCAGUAGACUCAGCAGCAGCAAGUGCUAACGGCCCAGGAAGAGAUGGUCAGUGUGGGCAGGAUGGGAAAUGCUUCUUGGGUAGACAAGGAAAAAGAAAGUGCUGGAAUUUGCUUGCAGGACUUGUAAUGAGGUGCUUUCCAAAGUAAGUGGGUCAAUCGCACGACCCUCACAAAGACUGGUACAGUCUCCCACAGGAAGAAGAUUGUUUUACACAGGUGCUCCACCCAUGCUGGCAGAGAAACAGGACUUAUUGGCACAGCGAAGGACCAGUUCGUGGUCAGCUCUCCCUGGGGCCAGUCUGAUUGAAAAGGCUGGAAGCACUUGCAGAGGUAUAUAGCAUCUCCUCUGUUCCAGAAGUGAAACUAAAAAACUGCUUUUCUAGAUUUGCAUCAGGAUUCCCCCAGUCUCCUCAGUUCUUGGAAAACCCUUUCAAUAAUCCUUCUUGAGGAUUCACUGAAAUGGGAAAUUAAAUAAGCCUCUCCAGAUUCUCAGUUCUCCUAACCUGGAGGGACAAAGAAUGAUCAAAUUGGGAAGUAUUACUUUAUGGUGGUAUUAAAGACUGAGCAACCUCUUAAUCUUUAAGUGGUGUUUCCAGAUAAAUAUUGAAACAGCCUCCAUGUAGAUAAGGCAAGACAAAGAAUAUGGGGAGACACACUGUAUCUGUCAGACUGUGGGUAUUCAUUCAUCAAGUCUCCAAAUUAUUUUUCUAACAAGAUUCAAAUUUGGACUUGAUGAUCAUGAGUAUUUUCCAACGUAGAUGAUUCUGUGAACGCAGAGGUAAAAACAACAAUGCUGAAAAGCUUCAAUUAAAUUUCAUUUGUACAGCUUAUUAGCACAGUAUGCCUUUUAGUGGCUUUAAAUGCUGAACAGAAUAAAUAUUACUGGGUCUCUAAAUAAGACUCAGAAUUGAAAUUACUUGACAUUAAGUCCUCGUUCUGUCUUCAGACAUGUCUGUUUUGAUUUUCCUCUUUAUACAGUGACACAUUUGUUAGUGCACAUGCUUACACAUGCAUAAACACACACAACAUGAGUGGAUGCUAAAUAAAUAGCCCUAUGGAGAGGGAGUACAAUAUUUCACUGACUGCAGAAUGAAGCCCAACUUUAUUGGCAGACUUCAUUGAUGCUAGACAAUAAAACAUUUGUAAGUUUUGCUGCAGACAGUCUGGCUGGCAGUUUAGGAGCUCUAAUUUAUUGUGAAUAAAUAAUUUACUGGAAUCUCGGAGGAGUCAUUUUAAUGCAAAAAAAAAAAAUAAAAUCUGGCACACUAUUGUUUCUUGUCUGUUGUUUUGAACCAGCAAUACUAAAAAUGUUAAAACUGGAAACAUUAACAACACCACCAACACAAUGAUUUCAAAGAUAGUAUUCUGUAAAUGUCAAAUCUUGCAGUUCACAUUGGUUUCACAUAUUGAUAAUUUGUGUUUACUUAGUCUUUAUAUUAAAGACAUGCCAAAUACC